rnacentral:rRNA from 1 species
AUUGAACGCUGGCGGCAGGCCUAACACAUGCAAGUCGAAUGGUAACAGGAAACAGCUUGCUGUUUCGCUGACGAGUGGCGGACGGGUGAGUAAUGUCUGGGAAACUGCCUGAUGGAGGGGGAUAACUACUGGAAACGGUAGCUAAUACCGCAUAACGUCGCAAGACCAAAGAGGGGGACCUUCGGGCCUCUUGCCAUCAGAUGUGCCCAGAUGGGAUUAGCUAGUAGGUGGGGUAACGGCUCACCUAGGCGACGAUCCCUAGCUGGUCUGAGAGGAUGACCAGCCACACUGGGACUGAGACACGGUCCAGACUCCUACGGGAGGCAGCAGUGGGGAAUAUUGCACAAUGGGCGCAAGCCUGAUGCAGCCAUGCCGCGUGUAUGAAGAAGGCCUUCGGGUUUUAAAGUACUUUCAGCGGGGAGGAAGGGAGUAAAGUUAAUACCUUUGCUCAUUGACGUUACCCGCAGAAGAAGCACCGGCUAACUCCGUG